UGAAUUAACACAUGAAUCGAACACAUUGUGUCUGCUGAGCCCUUGUGAACCUCCCCUGCACCAGGGCCACAGCAAGUCUGUACCAGUGAACUUAAUCCAAUAUAUUUUGAUUUCUUGGUAUCUACCUUGCUAGCAAACCCUACCGUACAUAAGCGUGAGCCAACGCACAAUGUGUUUCCCUUUGUAUUUUGUUUUCAAAAAAAACGUCUAGAGACAGCACAGGCCAGUUCCCCAACAAUGUAAAGUUGAAGACUGCUGGCCAAAUAAAAACUUUUCUGAUGUCUCAUAAAAUCUUUGUAAAUGUGACAAUCAAGCCCUCAAGAAAAUUCACCUGGCGACAGCUGCAUUGAAACAAAGUUACUGCAGCAACAAGUAACGUCACAGUGUUAAUAAUUGACAUGGAAAGAAUGAAAAGGUGAGCAAGGGAUAAAGAGGACAAAGGAGAGAUUUCAGUAUAAACUUCUGCUGUGCAGUUGGUGGCCAGUCUCAGCUCAUGAUGUGUGAAGAUACACUGAAGUCCUGCCAUUACUCAAAGAUGGGAAUCCAGCUGUGCUCCACCUCUUGGGAAGGAAAGCACUAAUGCAAACCAGCUCUUAGUGACAUGUCAGUAGCUGCUCAAUGAAGAUGCCACCAAUAUGACUUUUUUUUUUCUUUUUAAUUUUUUAAAAAAAUAAUAAUAAAAAAAUCUUCCAGCAAAGAGUUAGUGAUACCUUAUGAAAUAGAAACAAUUAAAGAUGAACUGCAACUGUCAAAAUUAUGUCACAGGAGUCUUUGCAGUUCACUGGACUUAAUUACUUAGAGUCCAAAGCUGCUUCUAUUGACGUCAACACAAGUUGUCAGAGUAGGGGCAAGGGGUUUCUUUCUGGUCUAGCCACUAAUAAGUUGUUACUGUAGGCAAGAAUUAAUAAAUUUCUUUCCUACAAAGAUUAAUUAAUUUUUCAGACUUCAAGAAAAUGAUACUUCUACAGUCAAAAAAGCAUUAUUUAAUACUUGGGCUGUCUGCUGAGGCCUCACAGUGUGACACAAAUUUAAAAUACAACAUAUUAUAAAACUUAGCUUUCUUUUUAAUUUACUGCACUGUGGUAUUCUGAAAAAUUCUGAGAACUUUAUCCAGCAUCUAGGUGGUAUGUAACCUUUCACAAAAAGUCUUGCUUUAACAUCAACCAAACGGCAGCUUGAUUGCCAGUUUCUCUGGAAGGAAGCUGUUUUAUGUAAAACAAAAUUUGUAUCUCUCUUAGAUAAACUGCUAGGUCAGAGUCUGUAACCAACAAUGGUUUUUCAACCUUAGGCAAUUACUCCAUUGACAGGCUUAUAAGUUAAACUCUUUGCUUGUCCUACUCUCCUCAAAAAUUUUUAUUUUAUUGAUAUAUUAUUUUAAAGGAUCUUUUGUAACCUGCCUUGUAUUAUAUUUUGGAGAAUUAUGAUGAGGGAUAAUUGCUUCUUAGUAGCUAUAAAUAUAACUGUUAUUGUAAUUAUAUCAUUUAGGUUGAAAUAUUUGUGCUACAUUGAAACGAACUUUUUGUACCUACAAUAAAAUUCAAAACUCAGAAAAAAGCUCACAGUAAAUAAAUAUUGAUUGACAAAUUCAAAGUA